rnacentral:rRNA from 1 species
CCUACGGGAGGCAGCAGUGGGGAAUAUUGCACAAUGGGGGAAACCCUGAUGCAGCGACGCCGCGUGAGUGAAGAAGUAUUUCGGUACGUAAAGCUCUAUCAGCAGGGAAGAAAAUGACGGUACCUGACUAAGAAGCCCCGGCUAACUACGGGCCAGCAGCCGCGGUAAUACGUAGGGGGCAAGCGUUAUCCGGAUUUACUGGGUGUAAAGGGAGCGUAGACGGCAGCGCAAGUCUGGAGUGAAAUCCCAUGGCUUAACCAUGGAACUGCUUUGGAAACUGUGCAGCUAGAGUGCAGGAGAGGUAAGCGGAAUUGCUGGUGUAGCGGUGAAAUGCGUAGAUAUUAGGAGGAACACCAGUGGCGAAGGCGGCUUACUGGACUGUAACUGACGUUGAGGCUCGAAAGCGUGGGGAGCAAACAGGAUUAGAUACCCCUGUAGUC